GUUUUAUUAUUGUACAACUGCUCUGACUGAAUAACCUUCUCUUGUCUCUAUUUUUGCUCUGCAACAAAUUACCUCUGAUUAAUCUUGCAGAUUUUUACAUGAGCAGAAUUUGAGCAGAAAAAAAUAGUUAGUGUUAAUCAGUCAUGUAGUGUUCCUGUGAAUUGAUUAAGCCACCCUAAAGUCCUUUCUGGAAUCAUAAGAAGGCUUCAUCGGGAGCUCCACCUGGGUAGAGCGGCAGGAUCAGAUUAACACAUCAAACACCGAAAUAGCUCCGUACAUAGACUGUCCUGCCACGCACACCGGCGAAAGGGCCGCGGUGACUAAGUCACGGCCCCUACCUGCUGAGCUGGGUAAGAAGAAAGGAGUCGGGUCCUCUGCUGAAUUCUGGUAUUGUUCUCAAUCGGGAAAAUGGGUAGAGCCGAAGAUAAUGGGCCAGCCACUGGCCUCCUUCGGGCAAGUAAGUACAUGUUUCCUCUUAAAAUCUCUCUGGAAAAAAGACAUGAAACAUUUUCUAUUAAAGCAACUCUCCUGGAAAUGCCUGC
rnacentral:lncRNA from 9 species